rnacentral:rRNA from 1 species
UACGUAGGGGGCAAGCGUUAUCCGGAUUUACUGGGUGUAAAGGGAGCGUAGACGGCAGAGCAAGUCUGAAGUGAAAGCCCGCGGCCCAACUGCGGGACUGCUUUGGAAACUGCCCGGCUAGAGUGCUGGAGAGGUAAGCGGAAUUCCUAGUGUAGCGGUGAAAUGCGUAGAUAUUAGGAGGAUCACCAGUGGCGAAGGCGGCUUACUGGACAGUAACUGACGUUGAGGCUCGAAAGCGUGGGGAGCAAACAGG